GCAUGGCGUUCCCGCCUUGAUUUCCCCACAGGGAUGGACUAUAACCUGGAACUGUAAGCUGAAAUAAACUCCUUCCUCCCUGCAGUUGCUUACUGUCACAGCUACGUAAGUGACGCUAGGAAGGGCUUUCUGGUUGCUGAUCCAGACCAGAAGGCCAAGACCCUCUGAACACCAGAUCUGAAGACAGCAAUCAUUGAAAGACAUUUUGAGACCUUUACGACAGUGUGAACUGGACUCCACCAUGCAAAUCAGAACUCUGUGAGCCCUGGAAAGGCGUGCCUGUAACUUGGGAGUUAAGUAUCCCUCCCUCUUCCUAACAACAGCAAACAAUUCUUUUGGAGCAACGACCCGCCUUUCCCUCCGGGUGCGUGACUCUUCAAUUCUCUCAGCGAGUAUAAAAUUCUUCAUAUACAAUGAUAAAACUGAGGUGGCUUCUCCCAAUGUAAGCAAACUUCUUAGCGACAAAACUGGCCUUCUGAGACGUUCUAGAGUGUCAAAAGCAGAGCGGUUUCAUUCCUUAUAACAUUAACUCUCUUGUGCACGGCAGGAUCUUUGGUGCUGGCAUCAGUCAACACCAGGCAUACUCUGU
rnacentral:lncRNA from 1 species